UACGAAGGGGGCUAGCGUUGCUCGGAAUCACUGGGCGUAAAGGGUGCGUAGGCGGGUCUUUAAGUCAGGGGUGAAAUCCUAGAGCUCAACUCCAGAACUACCUUUGAUACUGAAGAUCUUGAGUUCGGGAGAGGUGAGUGGAACUGCGAGUGUAGAGGUGAAAUUCGUAGAUAUUCGCAAGAACACCAGUGGCGAAGGCGGCUCACUGGCCCGAUACUGACGCUGAGGCACGAAAGCGUGGGGAGCAAACAGG
rnacentral:rRNA from 1 species